rnacentral:lncRNA from 1 species
CCCCCACCCCCGACCGCCGACCCGCCGAAAAUCUGCCAGGAACAACUUCACCAAGGAAUGUGGAUUUGGCUUUAUACAACUUGGUUUGAGAAUAGAUUGGAAUUUACUAGCUCGUGCUCACCCCACACAGAGCCCACCAAAGUGAAUGGUAGCCUGGAGACCAGGUACAGGUGGAUCGAGCUCAAGACGAAGUAGGGAGAAGUAGAACACAGGAGACACCUGGGAGACCAGAUCACCGUGGAAGGCCUGCUCAUGCGUGCGUGGACUUUUGAUUUCAACUUCUCACCUAACACCAGGGGAGAUGCUGAAAUCAAGGCAUUGUACAAAUGGAGCCCUUGGGGCAGCGUGUUCCAUUUGGGCUUUGAGCCCUAGCCCAUUAGGUAAAUGAAACUCAGAGUGACUCAGAGCAACUUCGCCAUUGGCUACAAGAUGGGCAAAAUCCAGCUUCACACUAAAGUGAACGACAGGAGCAAUUUGGUGGCUGCUUCCAGAAACUGAGUAAGUUGAAAAGCGCUGUCUAUGUUGCCUCGACAGCAGGCUACAGUGACAUUUGCUUAGGAAUAGCUGCCCAGUAUCAGGUGGACUUUGAGUCUUAAUUUACCGCCAAAGUAAACAACACCAGCCGGAUCCAUUUAUGGUACACUCGGGCCCUAAAGCCGGGCACCAAUAUGAUGCUGUCAGUCUCCUGGACGGCAACAUCAAUGGUGGUGUCUACAAGCUUGACCCAGGACUGGAACUUCAAGCU